rnacentral:rRNA from 1 species
UACGAAGGGGGCUAGCGUUGUUCGGAAUCACUGGGCGUAAGGGGCGCGUAGGCGGCCGAUCAAGUCGGGGGUGAAAGCCUGUGGCUCAACCACAGAAUGGCCUUCGAUACUGUUUGGCUUGAGACCGGAAGAGGUCAGUGGAACUGCGAGUGUAGAGGUGAAAUUCGUAGAUAUUCGGAAGAACACCAGUGGCGAAGGCGACUCGCUGGACAGGUAUUGACGCUGAGGAGCGAAAGCGUGGGGAGCAAACAGG